rnacentral:rRNA from 1 species
CCUACGGGUGGCAGCAGUGAGGAAUAUUGGUCAAUGGACGAGAGUCUGAACCAGUCAAGUAGCGUGAAGGAUGACUGCCCUAUGGGUUGUAAACUUCUUUUAUAUGGGAAUAAAACGUUCCACGUGUGGGAUUUUGUAUGUACCAUAUGAAUAAGGAUCGGCUAACUCCGUGCCAGCAGCCGCGGUAAUACGGAGGAUCCGAGCGUUAUCCGGAUUUAUUGGGUUUAAAGGGAGCGUAGGUGGAUUGUUAAGUCAGUUGUGAAAGUUUGCGGCUCAACCGUAAAAUUGCAGUUGAAACUGGCAGUCUUGAGUACAGUAGAGGUGGGCGGAAUUCGUGGUGUAGCGGUGAAAUGCUUAGAUAUCACGAAGAACUCCGAUUGCGAAGGCAGUUCACUGGACUGCAACUGACACUGAGGCUCGAAAGUGUGGGUAUCAAACAGGAUUAGAUACCCUUGUAGUC